AUUCAGUAGUCAAAUUAAGAACUGCGCCAACGUUUUUUUACUGACCACAUUAAUCUGUUAAUUUUACCAAAACAUAGUCACCAUCACCACAUAUAAAAAUAAAUUCGGUUUAUUUACCCAGUAUUCAUGACUAGAAACAUUCUUGAAUUGACAAAUUUGACUAAAGGUGAAGAUGAAUCGAAGCCAAACUUCAAAUUUUCAAGAGCACGGAUCCGUGCUCUUGAAAAUUUGAACUUUAACUUAGAUUUAUCUUAACCUUAAAUACAAUGAUAGAAAUACAAUGCUCACGGUGUGUUUCGUAGAACAACUUUAUUACUAAAAAAUAGAAGAAGUUCCGUAGAACCAUGGGAUUCGCGGCCUAGUAAAAUUCAAUCUAUAUUUCAAAUCAGCGUAACGGCUUUGGCCUUUUUGGCAUUUGCUAGUUACCUGUUAUGCAUGAUUGUACAAGCAAUUAAAAGUAAAGGAACAACUUAUUUUCAUCCAACAAUAUCAUCAAGUGCAACAUUGUCAACAGCUGUAAAAAAACGAAGGCCAAUGGGUAGAAAAAAACGUGAUGUUGAAAACGGAAACAUUACAACGACCGAGGAAAAUUUAGAAACAGGACUAAAUGCAGAACAAAUCUACUCAUCUCUACUUAUAAUUUCCAACGCUUACGUAAAAUUUAGUGAAAUUGAUAAAUAAAUAAUGAACUCUCA